rnacentral:lncRNA from 1 species
AUGAUUGUAUAUUUAGGUCAAAAAAUUAUUUUCAAUAUGGUUCAUGAUUUAUAUUUGAGAUAUAUGAUAUUAUGUUAUGAUCUGAAUUUUAGUUUAGAUCUGAAUUUUAUAUACAUAUAUGAGAUAUAUGUUCGUAUGUUAAAUCUGAAUAAUUAGUUUCAUAAUUUAAAGCUUACCUUUCAUGCAAAAGAUUUGGAUCUAAAAUUUAGUU